GACGAACGCUGGCGGCGUGCUUAACACAUGCAAGUCGAACGGAAAGGCCCUGCUUUUGUGGGGUGCUCGAGUGGCGAACGGGUGAGUAACACGUGAGUAACCUGCCCUUGACUUUGGGAUAGCUUCAGGAAACUGGGGCUAAUACCGGCUAGGAGCUCCUGCUGCAUGGUGGGAGUUGGAAAGUUUCGGCUGUUGGGGAUGGACUCGGGGCUUAUCAGCUUGUAGGUCGGUGAGUGGCUUACCAAGGCUUUGACUGGUCGCCCCCCUGGGAGGGUGAACGGCUGCAUGGGGACUGAGAAGCGGCUCAGACUCCUACUGGAGGGAGCAGUUGAGAAUAUUUUACAAUGCGCGGAUGCCUGACGUAGCAAUGUCGCGUGCGGGAUGACGACCUUCGAGUUAUAAACCGCUUUCGCCGUUGACAAGGCGUGAGUGACGGUAACGGGUAAAGAAGCACCGGCUAACUACGUG
rnacentral:rRNA from 1 species